rnacentral:rRNA from 1 species
GAUCCUGGCUCAGGAUGAACGCUGGCGGCGUGCUUAACACAUGCAAGUCGAGCGAAGCACUUUGCUUUGAUUUCUUCGGGAUGAAGAGCUUGGUGACUGAGCGGGCGGACGGGUGAGUAACGCGUGGGUAACCUGCCUCAUACAGGGGGAUAACAGUUAGAAAUGACUGCUAAUACCGCAUAAGGCCACAGCACCGCAUGGUGCAGGGGGUAAAAAACUCCGGUGGUAUGAGAUGGACCCG